AACGAACGCUGGCGGCAGGCUUAACACAUGCAAGUCGAACGGGUGUAGCAAUACACCAGUGGCAGACGGGUGAGUAACACGUGGGAACCUUCCUAGGGGUACGGAACAACUCAGGGAAACUUGAGCUAAUACCGUAUACGUCCGUAAGGAGAAAGAUUCAUCGCCCCUAGACGGGCCCGCGUCGGAUUAGGUAGUUGGUGGGGUAACGGCCUACCAAGCCUACGAUCCGUAGCUGAUCUGAGAGGAUGAUCAGCCACACUGGGACUGAGACACGGCCCAGACUCCUACGGGAGGCAGCAGUGGGGAAUCUUGGACAAUGGGCGCAAGCCUGAUCCAGCCACGCCGCGUGAGUGAAGAAGGCCUUAGGGUUGUAAAGCUCUUUUACCAGGGACGAUAAUGACGGUACCUGGAGAAUAAGCCCCGGC
rnacentral:rRNA from 1 species